rnacentral:lncRNA from 1 species
ACAUGGACCCACUGGUCAAGCGGGCUCGGCAAGGCCAGGAUGAAGAGAAGCUACGAACUUAGCAUUCCCAGAGCCCCCCGAGUGGAUAUCCGCGUGGAAAGGAUGUUGGCAGCCCCGGUGACCUCGGAGUCACGGCUGGAUCCACCCUCUUGUCUGAUUUUCUUAACUCUACUACGGUAAGAAGAUGCCCUCCAUCAGCAGGCCGUGUCUGCUGGGACCUCUCUGGAGACUUCCUGAACCCUGUGGAUUUACAGUAAGAUGCAGUUUCCUGGGGAGUAAUUCUGGUGGAUACAAAUUCCGGAGUAUUACACCUGGCUUGCCUGGAGAUGUUACAAGUAGCUGGAUGGAUUCUUCAGCCUGGAUGCCCACUGAAAACAAGGACCGAAACUAAGAGGAUUGUAUCUCUACCCUUGACUCAAUGAGAAUGUUUGUUGUCAUCUCUCGGGCUACCUGGAGCUCCCUCUAAAAUAGAGCCGAGUUCUGUCACCACAGACAUUGGCAGUGGCACUUGCAUGCCCCUGGCAAGCAGUCUAUCCUGAGGUGGAGGAAGUUGCCCUUGAGUUCUGGCUGGUAACCAGCACAGGGGCUGGGACACUGCCUGAUUGAGGUGGCCAUUGAGAAUUCAAGUGUACCUCUUGGUCCCUGAUGCAGAAAUGAAGUCCCCAGCAUGCUCAAGAAGAGCUUCCUUGGAGGAUGAGAGGCAUGGGAAUCUAAGUAUACCCUUUAAGCGUUCCAGAAGGAUUUUGAGAUCCUUUCCUAAAUCAAAGGUGGAAUAUUUGGGGAUUUGGAAAAUUGAGCAUUUUUUUCCCCACUUGCUUGACUGUAAUGCUAACAUGCUCUCUCUGCUCCAACCUGGAGAAGCCAGUCUCUCAGAAGAACCAGUUGUGUUACUUUGCUGUGAGAUGCCUGCCCUAAGAGAGGAGCAGAAGGUCGGAACGGGUCCUCUAAUGUGAUAAUUAGCUCCUGUCUUAGUGCAUUUGGCCUGCUCUAAGGAAGUGGGACUCUAGGCUGUGUGGCUGUGGAACAACAGGGGUUGAUUUCUCCUGGUUCUGGAGGCUAGGCAUCCCCGACUGUGUGCCACCGACGUCAUUAGUGUGUGGCAAGGGCCUGCUUUUUGACUCAUGGUCCCCUGUCUUCCAGGUCUAACCUGGGGGAUGAGUUUCAGACGUUAGCCCAUGAUUAUGGUGACACCAAAAACAACAACAACAACAACAAAAACGGACAAGGUUCUGGAGAAGGAACUGAGAGUCUUAUAUUCUGAUCUGCACGCAGCAGAAGAGGGAGAUACUGGGUCUGUCUUGGGCUUUUGAAACCUCAAAGCCCACCUCCAAUGAAACACCCCUACAAUAAGACCACAUCUGCUAAUCUAAAUCCCCAAGUAGUGGUAUUCCCUGAGGACUAAGCAUUUGAAUAUGAGCCUACAGGGGCCAUUUUCAUUCAAAGAAGCAUGCAUAUGUAUAAAGAAAAGCAAAUACCUGCAUAGAUUUGGCACCUGUCAGAGAAGAGGUAAAUUCAAAGCAGAAAAAGCAACCUAGGCUCUGGUCUGGUUUAUGGAGACACUCUGUUUUGGCCUCCGCUCAUUGCAAUGACAAAUUAUUAUCCUUGGCUUCAGGGUAAAAUUUUCUCAGAGUUACGGAUACCGAGAAGUUCAAGGACAAAGUAUUAACAGUUCAUUUUCUGGUGAUGGUGUCUGCUUCGGUCAUGGAUGUCUGUCUUCUUUUGUCAUCACAGUGGGGUCAAGGGUUCAGUGUGAGAGCAUCUAAUGUUUCUCAUUCUCCUUUAACAAAGAAAUAAAUAUUUAUGUUCCA